UGGCAAUCUUUAAGAGACAUUUGGGAUGG
rnacentral:piRNA from 1 species